AACAGCGCAUUUACAAGCGCAUCCUUGC
rnacentral:piRNA from 1 species